rnacentral:rRNA from 1 species
UACGGAGGGGGCCAGCGUUGUUCGGAAUUACUGGGCGUAAAGCGCGCGUAGGCGGACCUGCAAGUCGGGGGUGAAAGCCCGAGGCUCAACCUCGGAACUGCCUUCGAUACUGCGGGUCUCGAGUCCGGGAGAGGUGAGUGGAAUUCCUAGUGUAGAGGUGAAAUUCGUAGAUAUUAGGAAGAACACCAGUGGCGAAGGCGGCUCACUGGCCCGGUACUGACGCUGAGGCGCGAAAGCGUGGGGAGCAAACAGG